rnacentral:rRNA from 1 species
GACGAACGCUGGCGGCGUGCCUAAUACAUGCAAGUUGAGCGGUGAAGAUUGGUGCUUGCCCCAAUUUGAAGAGCAGCGCACGGGUGAGUAACGCGUGGGGAAUCUGCCUUUGAGCGGGGGACAACAGUAGGAAACGACUGCUAAUACCGCAUCACAACGUUAAAAAUAAGGGUUAAGUUUGAAAGAUCCAAUUGCAUCACUCAAAGAUGAUCCCGCGUUGUAUUAGGUAGUUGGUGGGCUAAAGGCUCACCCAGGCGAUGAUCCGUAACCGGCUUGAGAGGAUGAUCAGCCACACUGGAACUGGACCACGGUCCAGACUCCUACGGGAGGCACAAGUGGGGAAUAUUGGACAAUGGGCGAAAGCCUGAUCCAGCCAUGCGGCGUGUGGGAGGAAGGUCUUCGGAUGGUAAAGCACUUUAAGUUGGGAGGAAGGGCAGUAAGUUGAUACCUCGCUGUAUUGACGGUACCAACAGAAUAAGCACCGGCUAACUUCGUG